rnacentral:lncRNA from 1 species
UGGAAUCUCCCUUAUGAAUUCAUCAAUAGUAGCAGCACCACUCUCAUCUCUCAAAUUUUUUAAAUGAAAGUAGAAAGACUUCUCAGUCGAUGCAUAAGCCACUUUAAAGAAUUUUUGUAACACAUCAGCAACAACAAUUUCCCCUCCUUUGUUCUUAUACUUUCGACUAAGGUUGUAUCGCAAAUGAUGAUAACAGUAAAGAUGAGGAUUACUAGGAAAAAUGAGAUCAAAUGCCUUCAACAAACCAACACCACGAUCACUAAUGAAUGUGAUAAUCCUUCCUUGCGGUUCCAACAAAGCCUUCAAGUUCUUGAAGAAAAACAACCAGUUUUCUUCAGUCUCUGAAUCACAAAAACACAAGGCUAAAUGGAAGAAACCUGCAUAAUAAAAAAACAAACAAACAAU